AGUGAACGCUGGCGGUAGGCCUAACACAUGCAAGUCGAGCGGAAAGGCCCCUUUGGGGGUACUCGAGCGGCGAACGGGUGAGUAACACGUGAGUAAUCUGCCCUUGGCUUUGGGAUAACUACCGGAAACGGUGGCUAAUACCGGAUACGACACAGGUAUGCAUGUACUCUGUGUGGAAAGUUUUUUCGGCUAGGGAUGUGCUCGCGGCCUAUCAGCUUGUUGGUGGGGUAAUGGCCUACCAAGGCUUCGACGGGUAGCCGGCCUGAGAGGGUGACCGGCCACACUGGGACUGAGACACGGCCCAGACUCCUACGGGAGGCAGCAGUGGGGAAUAUUGGACAAUGGGCGGAAGCCUGAUCCAGCAACGCCGCGUGAGGGAUGACGGCCUUCGGGUUGUAAACCUCUUUCAUCUUCGACGAAGCGCCGAUGAUGGUGGUGACGGUAGGAGAAGAAGAAGCACCGGCCAACUACGUGCCAGCAGCCGCGGUAA
rnacentral:rRNA from 1 species